rnacentral:rRNA from 1 species
GUAGGUGAACCUGCGGAAGGAUCAUUACCUAGAGUUUGUGGACUUCGGUCUGCUACCUCUUACCCAUGUCUUUUGAGUACCUUCGUUUCCUCGGCGGGUCCGCCCGCCGGUUGGACAACAUUCAAACCCUUUGCAGUUGCAAUCAGCGUCUGAAAAAACUUAAUAGUUACAACUUUCAACAACGGAUCUCUUGGUUCUGGCAUCGAUGAAGAACGCAGCGAAAUGCGAUAAGUAGUGUGAAUUGCAGAAUUCAGUGAAUCAUCGAAUCUUUGAACGCACAUUGCGCCCCUUGGUAUUCCAUGGGGCAUGCCUGUUCGAGCGUCAUUUGUACCUUCAAGCUCUGCUUGGUGUUGGGUGUUUUGUCUCGCCUCCGCGCGCAGACUCGCCUUAAAACAAUUGGCAGCCGGCGUAUUGAUUUCGGAGCGCAGUACAUCUCGCGCUUUGCACUCAUAACGACGACGUCCAAAAGUACAUUUUUACACUCUUGACCUCGGAUCAGGUAGGGAUACCCGCUGAACUUAAGCAUAUCAAUAAGCGGAGGA